AUUGAACGCUGGCGGCAGGCCUAACACAUGCAAGUCGAGCGAGCGGCGGAAGGGUGCGUAAUGUAUGGGGACUGCCCGAUAGAGGGGGAUAAAUACUGGAAACGGUAGCUCAUACCGAAUACUAUCGGAUAACCCAUAUGGGAUUAGCUAGGAGGUGAGGUAAUGGCUCACCUAGGCGACGAUCCCUAGCUGGUCUGAGAUGAGGAUCAGCCACACUGGGACUGAGACACGGCCCAGACUCCGACGGAGGCAGCAGUGGGGAAUAUUGCACAAUGGGCGCAAGCCUGAUGCAGCCAUGCCGCGUGUAUGAAGAAGGCCCUAGGGUUGUAAAGUACUUUCAUUCGGGAGGCGUUACCGACAGAAGAAGCACCGGCUAACUCCGUGCCAGCAGCCGCGGUAAUUC
rnacentral:rRNA from 1 species